UUAAGUUAUUAAGGGCGCACGGUGGAUGCCUUGGCACUAGAAGCCGAUGAAGGACGUUACUAACGACGAUAUGCUUUGGGGAGCUGUAAGUAAGCUUUGAUCCAGAGAUUUCCGAAUGGGGAAACCCAGCAUGAGUUAUGUCAUGUUAUCGAUAUGUGAAUACAUAGCAUAUCAGAAGGCACACCCGGAGAACUGAAACAUCUUAGUACCCGGAGGAAGAGAAAGAAAAUUCGAUUCCCUUAGUAGCGGCGAGCGAAACGGGAAGAGCCCAAACCAACAAGCUUGCUUGUUGGGGUUGUAGGACACUCUAUACGGAGUUACAAAGGACGACAUUAGACGAAUCAUCUGGAAAGAUGAAUCAAAGAAGGUAAUAAUCCUGUAGUCGAAAAUGUUGUCUCUCUUGAGUGGAUCCUGAGUACGACGGAGCACGUGAAAUUCCGUCGGAAUCUGGGAGGACCAUCUCCUAAGGCUAAAUACUCUCUAGUGACCGAUAGUGAACCAGUACCGUGAGGGAAAGGUGAAAAGCACCCCGGAAGGAGAGUGAAAUAGAACCUGAAACCGUGUGCUUACAAGUAGUCAGAGCCCGUUAAUGGGUGAUGGCGUGCCUUUUGUAGAAUGAACCGGCGAGUUACGAUUUGAUGCAAGGUUAAGCAGUAAAUGUGGAGCCGUAGCGAAAGCGAGUCUGAAUAGGGCGUUUAGUAUUUGGUCGUAGACCCGAAACCAGGUGAUCUACCCUUGGUCAGGUUGAAGUUCAGGUAACACUGAAUGGAGGACCGAACCGACUUACGUUGAAAAGUGAGCGGAUGAACUGAGGGUAGCGGAGAAAUUCCAAUCGAACCUGGAGAUAGCUGGUUCUCUCCGAAAUAGCUUUAGGGCUAGCCUCAAGUGAUGAUUAUUGGAGGUAGAGCACUGUUUGGACGAGGGGCCCCUCUCGGGUUACCGAAUUCAGACAAACUCCGAAUGCCAAUUAAUUUAACUUGGGAGUCAGAACAUGGGUGAUAAGGUCCGUGUUCGAAAGGGAAACAGCCCAGACCACCAGCUAAGGUCCCAAAAUAUAUGUUAAGUGGAAAAGGAUGUGGCGUUGCCCAGACAACUAGGAUGUUGGCUUAGAAGCAGCCAUCAUUUAAAGAGUGCGUAAUAGCUCACUAGUCGAGUGACACUGCGCCGAAAAUGUACCGGGGCUAAACAUAUUACCGAAGCUGUGGAUUGUCCUUUGGACAAUGGUAGGAGAGCGUUCUAAGGGCGUUGAAGCAUGAUCGUAAGGACAUGUGGAGCGCUUAGAAGUGAGAAUGCCGGUGUGAGUAGCGAAAGACGGGUGAGAAUCCCGUCCACCGAUUGACUAAGGUUUCCAGAGGAAGGCUCGUCCGCUCUGGGUUAGUCGGGUCCUAAGCUGAGGCCGACAGGCGUAGGCGAUGGAUAACAGGUUGAUAUUCCUGUACCACCUAUAAUCGUUUUAAUCGAUGGGGGGACGCAGUAGGAUAGGCGAAGCGUGCGAUUGGAUUGCACGUCUAAGCAGUAAGGCUGAGUAUUAGGCAAAUCCGGUACUCGUUAAGGCUGAGCUGUGAUGGGGAGAAGACAUUGAGUCUUCGAGUCGUUGAUUUCACACUGCCGAGAAAAGCCUCUAGAUAGAAAAUAGGUGCCCGUACCGCAAACCGACACAGGUAGUCAAGAUGAGAAUUCUAAGGUGAGCGAGCGAACUCUCGUUAAGGAACUCGGCAAAAUGACCCCGUAACUUCGGGAGAAGGGGUGCUCUUUAGGGUUAACGCCCAGAAGAGCCGCAGUGAAUAGGCCCAAGCGACUGUUUAUCAAAAACACAGGUCUCUGCUAAACCGUAAGGUGAUGUAUAGGGGCUGACGCCUGCCCGGUGCUGGAAGGUUAAGAGGAGUGGUUAGCUUCUGCGAAGCUACGAAUCGAAGCCCCAGUAAACGGCGGCCGUAACUAUAACGGUCCUAAGGUAGCGAAAUUCCUUGUCGGGUAAGUUCCGACCCGCACGAAAGGCGUAACGAUUUGGGCACUGUCUCAACGAGAGACUCGGUGAAAUCAUAGUACCUGUGAAGAUGCAGGUUACCCGCGACAGGACGGAAAGACCCCGUGGAGCUUUACUGUAGCCUGAUAUUGAAAUUCGGCACAGCUUGUACAGGAUAGGUAGGAGCCUUUGAAACGUGAGCGCUAGCUUACGUGGAGGCGCUGGUGGGAUACUACCCUAGCUGUGUUGGCUUUCUAACCCGCACCACUUAUCGUGGUGGGAGACAGUGUCAAGCGGGCAGUUUGACUGGGGCGGUCGCCUCCUAAAAGGUAACGGAGGCGCUCAAAGGUUCCCUCAGAAUGGUUGGAAAUCAUUCAUAGAGUGUAAAGGCAUAAGGGAGCUUGACUGCGAGACCUACAAGUCGAGCAGGGUCGAAAGACGGACUUAGUGAUCCGGUGGUUCCGCAUGGAAGGGCCAUCGCUCAACGGAUAAAAGCUACCCCGGGGAUAACAGGCUUAUCUCCCCCAAGAGUUCACAUCGACGGGGAGGUUUGGCACCUCGAUGUCGGCUCAUCGCAUCCUGGGGCUGUAGUCGGUCCCAAGGGUUGGGCUGUUCGCCCAUUAAAGCGGUACGCGAGCUGGGUUCAGAACGUCGUGAGACAGUUCGGUCCCUAUCCGUCGUGGGCGUAGGAAAUUUGAGAGGAGCUGUCCUUAGUACGAGAGGACCGGGAUGGACAUACCUCUGGUGUACCAGUUGUCGUGCCAACGGCAUAGCUGGGUAGCUAUGUGUGGACGGGAUAAGUGCUGAAAGCAUCUAAGCAUGAAGCCCCCCUCAAGAUGAGAUUUCCCAACUUCGGUUAUAAGAUCCCUCAAAGAUGAUGAGGUUAAUAGGUUCGAGGUGGAAGCAUGGUGACAUGUGGAGCUGACGAAUACUAAUCGAUCGAAGACUUAAUCAA
rnacentral:rRNA from 14 species